rnacentral:rRNA from 1 species
UGCGUAGGCGGUCUUUUAAGUCAGCGGUGAAAGCCCGGGGCUCAACCCCGGCGAGCCGUUGAUACUGGGAGACUGGAGAGGAAGAGAGGCAUGCGGAAUUCGCGGUGUAGCGGUGAAAUGCGUAGAGAUCUGGAGGAAUACCGAUUGCGCAGGCAGCCCCCUGGACAGUGACUGACGCUCAUAUGCGAAAGCGUGGGGAUCAAACAGGAUUAGAUACCCCUGUA